rnacentral:tRNA from 1 species
ACCUUCGUGGUGUAGUGGUCAGCACACUUGGCGCGUAUUCGAGAGAUCCGAGGUUCGAGUCCCGGCCAGGGCA